rnacentral:tRNA from 1 species
GCCGGCAUAGCUCAGAUGGUAGAGCAACUGACUUGUAAUCAGUAGGUCCSSRGUUCGACUCCGCGUGCCGGCACCA